AGAGAAAGAAAUCAUAUAUUACAUAAAAAUGUUAGAUUACAAUAUUGGAAAUUACAUGAGGAACAUCAUCCAAAUGUGAUGCAUAAUCUAACUAUUUUCUUGCCAGUGAAACUUAAACUGAAAGCAUCCAUCAACAUCCCUACAACUUAACCAAAACAAGACCGACAAACAACAUCCAACGGGAACGACAUCCCUACUACUUAAAUAAAACUGAAAUCAUCCAUCAUCAUCACCAUGAUCCAGAAAAUCAACAUCCUCAUUGAAGUAUACUUGCCACCCACCCAUAUAUACUCAUCCAUUUAUCUUUUGAACCUACAAAAAAGAAAAGAAAGUGAACACUUAACACACAAUGUAUUUACAUGAUGCAAGUUGUAAUAAAGGCAAGGUAUUAGUCAUGUACAACUGUUGAAGGCCAUGCAAUCUUUGUUUGUAUUUUUGCAUUAUCAAGAGUAAUGAAGUUUUUGAGACACCAUACAAAGUUUUCAGUUUUCACGAAUGCCAUAGCAACAUGCACUGUCCUGAAUUAAUUUAUAAUUUCAGCACCAUGAAGUUUAAAUUUAGGAUCCCAACUUACAAUUGUAGCAAGAGUUACGUCACUGUUAUCGUUUUUAGGCACGUCAAGAAUACUUUAUUUCUAGUCUAAUAGACAAAACCAAAGUUGCCAUUGGCAGAAUCAUCCUCGUCACCCAUGAAAAGACAAAGCCAAAAAAGAGGAACAUAUGAAAUGAAUUUGAGCACUCUUACAUAUAGUUCACUAGCACCCAACCAACUAAGCAAACCACCUUGAGCAGUCUGAUAGCUGCAUUAGCACCUUUUGUUGUUUUCUCGGUCUGCACAAUACUCUAACGCAAAAGGCAAGUGAAAAAAAUAUAAACCUUUUGUUGUAUGUGUUAAUGGAAAUAUACCUUGUGUGCAAAAAAAUAUUUGGAAGGUCAUUGUUGCGAACCAUUAUCCUAUUCCCUUUUGGAAGGUUCCAAAUAUAUUUCAGCUUCCACUACUUGCACCCGUUUGUUUUUGCAUUUUCAGCUGAAUAUAUAGAACCACAAAUUAUAAAUGUUAUGAUGGUGAAUAAACAUAUAUUGCAAUCAGUAAGGAAUGAGCGAUAGACUUACCAUCUUCAUUUUCAUCUGCACCAACAUCAUCACAAUCUAUGAAGCCUUCUUCAUCAUUAGUAGUUAUUUUGUUGGCGUCAUUACAUAUCUCGUUUUUGUUUUUUGGCCCCCUUUUCACACAUUAUGUGGCUGGAAUGCAAAUUACAGGCAAUAUGUGUAACAUAAAACAUCUCAGGAAUUCAAACAUGAGCUUGCUUCGCAAUCAUCGAUUCUUUCUUCAAAGAACAUGCCUACCCGAGCAGUCAGGACAGUCUACAUAGAACCGGAUCACAUCUACCAACUGAUAAUGAUCUCCACGUCGUUGAUGUCAGAGAGUAAUAAGUUGCCUAAACAAAAUAUCGGUCUAUUAGACC
rnacentral:lncRNA from 1 species